GAUGAACGCUGGCGGCGUGCCUAAUACAUGCAAGUCGAGCGAACGGACGAGGAGCUUGCUCCUUUGACGUUAGCGGCGGACGGGUGAGUAACACGUGGAUAACCUACCUAUAAGACUGGGAUAACUUCGGGAAACCGGAGCUAAUACCGGAUAAUAUAUUGAACCGCAUGGUUCAAUAGUGAAAGACGGUUUUGCUGUCACUUAUAGAUGGAUCCGCGCCGCAUUAGCUAGUUGGUAAGGUAACGGCUUACCAAGGCAACGAUGCGUAGCCGACCUGAGAGGGUGAUCGGCCACACUGGAACUGAGACACGGUCCAGACUCCUACGGUAGGCAGCAGUAGGGAAUCUUCCGCAAAGGGCGAAAGCCUGACGGAGCAACGCCGCGUGAGUGAUGAAGGUCUUCGGAUCGUAAAACUCUGUUAUUAGGGAAGAACAAAUGUGUAAGUAACUAUGCACGUCUUGACGGUACCUAAUCAGAAAGCCACGGCUAACUACGUG
rnacentral:rRNA from 1 species